GUGUCAGCCGCCGCGGUAAGACGUAGGGCGCGAGCGUUGUCCGGAUUUAUUGGGCGUAAAGAGCUCGUAGGCGGCUUGUCGCGUCGUCCGUGAAGACCCGGGGCUCAACCCCGGGCUUGCGGUCGAUACGGGCAGGCUGGAGUUCGGUAGGGGAGACUGGAAUUCCUGGUGUAGCAGUGAAAUGCGUAGAUAUCAGGAGGAACACCGAUGGCGAAGGCAGGUCUCUGGGCCAUAACUGACGCUGAGAAGCGAAAGCAUGGGGAGCGAACAGGAUUAGAUACCCCCGUAGUCC
rnacentral:rRNA from 1 species